AAAAAACGAAAAAGGAACAAAAAAAUAAAAAAAAACGAAAAAGGAAUAAAAAAUUACAAUUUUAAGGGCAUUACUGCCAUUUUGAAAAAAAUUAGUCUAAUGGGACAUAAUGUAAUAUAGAUUAGUAUAAAGGGACAUAGUUAUCAUUUUUUUGCUCUAAAAAAACAAUUUUCCCAAGAUCUUAUUCAAUAACACAAAAGACCAAAAGACAAUAUCAAAGGCAAAAUGAGCAUCAGAAAAAAAUAUCCAUUAGUUACUACGAAAGACAAGAGAGACUAACAGAUAAAAUUAAGACUAAGUAAUUAGUUAACAGUGUUUUUAAUAAUGAUUAAAAUUUAGGCUGGUUUAGACAAUAGUCAUAGUUGUUUCUUUGAAAAAAAAUAGUAAAGUCAUAGUCAUAGUUUUUCAUAACAAUUUUAGUAAGUAUUUAUCAUUCUGGAUUCUCUCAAUAAAACAUUUUGAUGUUUAGAGAUUCGGGAGGUAAAUUCGAACCACACCAAAACAGAGACAAAAAAAUACUCUCUCUCUCUGUGAUGUUUUCAAUAUACUUUUGCAAUCUAUUUCUGUUACAUAUUUUUUAUUUUUCGAAUGCAUCAUGUAAUUAUACUUAAUUACCCUAUACAAUGGGCUUGAUGGAUCUAUGCUUACCAUUUCAUAAUAAAAAGAGUAAUGAAUAGAAGAAUAAUAAAAAAAAUUAGGAACACAUAAUAUCUUAUGAGUUGAAUAAGAUUGCCGAAACUAAAGGUUUGAGUAUAAGAGAACGUGGCUACCAAAACUCUAAUGAAAAGAAUGAUAGACAUUGUCCUUUCCGAUUCAAUCAAUCCUGGCCGAGUAUUAUUAGUCCACUAAAAGUAAGUCUACCCCCAAAUAUUGAGCAUGCUGAUUCAUGUCUGAUAUGCUAAAAUUAAUGGUAAAACUUUAUCCGUUUACCAAUAUUAUAGACAAAUUAUUACAUCAAAAUUUUAAAAUAUCAUAAAUAAUAGAGGGAAAAUUGGCUAAUUGGACCAGAUUGGGAAUGAAUUUGUCCCUUGUCUCUUUCAAUCUAUAAGUUUGUCUAAAUAUACCUUUGAUUUUUUAAAAUGUGAAAUUAACCCUCUAAUUAAAAAGGAACAUAAUUUACUUAACUUUAAAAUAGUAAAUAUAUUUUGAUAAAUGAUGUAGGAUGAUUCUAAAUAUAUAAAUAAAUAAUAAAAUUUAAAUAAUUUGUUUUAAAUAGUUUCAAAAAAAAUUCUGGAUUUCAAAAUAAAAAUUUGAAAACAAAGUUGAAAAAAGUUCAAAUUCAAAUAUUUAUUAUUCAAAAAUAUAAAAAUAAAAGUUACUUUUUGUUUAUUUAUGUUCUUUUGAGAGAAUUACCCCUAUAUUUGGUAAAAAAGGGAAAAUAUCCCUAAAAGCCUAAUUACGUCAUUUUUCUCAUUUACUCCGCUUUCCUUAUGAGAAAAUAAAGACCACCGAAAACAAAUCAACAAUUAAUGAACUUCCACUCGUUAUUUGUAUUGUGUCUCAAAACAUUACAUGUUACAUAGAUAUGAAUUAUUUGAUUUGAUAAGUAAGAGAUGGGGAAGAUGAAGAAAGGAAUAAGAUCAUUGAAUAAAAAAGAGAUGAAUUAAACAUGAUUCAAUGUUACUUUAGGUCAAAAACAAGAUAAGUUCAAAUAAAAUUAGUUAAGAUUGUUUCCUCGAUUUUUUCAGAUUUCAAAACAUAAAAUAACCGAAAAUAUAUAAUACAUAUUCUAAACAAGAUAGAACACAGAUAAAAGGUUAGAAUAUAAAUUCUAACGUGUUUACAAAAUAGCUAAAAGUAAGAAUUAUAUGUAUACUUUUCUACAAUGAAGUAAGAACUUACAAUAUAUAUUGUAUGUUAUAAAUAACAAAGCAUUCUAGUUAUAACUGAGGCAGACAUAUUUCAUAUUUAAAUAGAUCAUAGAUAAAAGUUUACAAUACAAAUACUAACUUUUAUAAAAGAUUGAAGAUAAGUUAGAACAUCUAUUUUAUCCUUGUAAAAAGGAUAAUAAACAUUCUAACAAAUCUAGAUUGACACAUCCUAAUUUUUUUUUUGGAAUUUAGUUAUUAAGGUCAAAACAUGUAAAAUAUUCUCAUGAUUGUAUUGAUUUUUCAUAUUUUCUGAACUCUUUAUAAUUUUUCAUAAUUAUUUUCGUUAUUAUGCGGGUAAUUAUGUCCAGAACUGAUCAAUUAAUGCAAAUGUAUAAAAGGAUACAAACUAUUUCAUUAUAGCUUAUUUUCCCAAUUUUCCCAAUAAUAUACAUAUUGAUUUAUUAUCUAUUGACUUUAAGUUGGAAUCUGAUGUAACUUAACAUUGGAUAUAUUUUUUUUCCGACAACACUGAAUAUCUUUUUUAUAUGAAUCAUUUCUUUAUAUAUUUUUAUUAGGCUGAGGGUAUUCCGAACCUAUGAAAUGGUCUAGACUAAUCUCAGAGACGAGGUGUAGCCUACAGAUAGACUCUCUCUCAAUGUAUUCAAAUGAAUCCUAAGCAACGAAACCAUAUUUGUAUGGUUACAUGAUGAAAUAUACUGGAGGGCAUUCGAACCUAGGUUGCUUAACAAAUUGAAGUUCGUGUACUACUAGGCCACAAUCACAUGUUUGAAUUCUUAGUUUUUUUCACUUUAUACAUUCGGUGAUUCAAUGUGUCUAUUGCAAGAACUACAUGAUGACUAUGCUUGUAUAUUCCUUCAGCUCGAUCGAUGUCAAAUAGAGGAGAUAAAACAUGUACUAGUUCGUAUGAAUCUGUGAAUAUAAAAGGCUAUCUAUACAUUUGUGCACAUGGACAAUCUCAUAUAAACCGGACAACAUGACUUCUUCCAACUUAGGGGUGGACACAUAUCAAAUAUCCUGAUUUUUGGAGGUAUUCGUGAUCUUAUAUAUUUUAUCCGAAUAAUCAAUUAUUCGAUUUGAUUCGUAAUUAUUUGAAUAUUCAGGGUUUCGGAUAUUCGGAAAGUUUUAGAUUUUUAACCGGAUAUCCGAUUCGAUCCGUACAAAUAAAAUAAAAAUUAUAAUUAAAAAAUUCAAAUAAUAUAAAUAAAUAUUUUGUUACAAAAAAUAAAGGCCUAUUUACUUUUUCAAUUCUAAUAACUAAUAUAAUAAGAUUAAUAAAUAAAAAUUGUACAAUUUAUAAAAAUAUAAUAUUUAUAUAAGUUAUAUAUAUACAAUUCUGUAAAUAUAUGCAUAUAUAUACAUAUAACAGAUCGGAUCAGAUCGGAUAUUCUUUUAUAAAAUAUUAGUAUUUGUAAUUUGGUUUGUAGAUUUACGGAUAUUCUGAAUUUUUAAUUCAGUUUUUGAUUCAGAUCGAAACAAACAACUAAUCAAAUUAAAAUGUAUGGAUAUUUUGCCAGCCCCUCUCCAGCUUACUUCACUUUAAAUGCAUAUACAUCUGUUAUGCAUUACCUUCAUCAACUAAUUAUAUAUAUGAACAAAUUUUGAAAGUAACACUAUAUAUAUAAGUACUCGUCAAAAAAAAAAAAACAAACAAUAUAUACAGUAUAACCUCUUUAAAUUAAUACUUUAUAAAUUAAUAUACACUAAAAAUUUCUAUAAAAUAAUAUAAUUUUAUAGUCUCAAAUUAAGUUUUUGGUUCAAUUAGUAUAUCAAUAAAUUAAUAAUUUCUAUAAAUUAAUAAAAAAUUAUAAUUUUAGUGUAAUCUCAAUAUUAUUAAUUUAUAGAGGUUUCACUGCAUAAGUAAACUAAUUACAUUUACUCAUUUAGGUUCUUGUACACUACCACUAGACUAUUGCACCUUUGGUAACAAAUUUAUUAUUCGGGUUUGAAUUCAAAUAGCGAAACAAUUAUUACACUAGUAAAUUAGUAAUAGAAGAUCAGUAGACUGCAUUUCUGGGGAAAUAAUCGUCUAGCCUUUAAUGAUGAUUAAAACAAUGUUCUGCAUUGCAAUAGAUUAAUGGGAAACAGGAAGAAGAUCCAUCUCCAUAAACUGAAUUCUUAAUUUUUUUCUUUGCAACCGGUUUCUUUUUUUUUUUGUUUUUUUUAUUAUCAACCGAUUUCAUUGAUCACGGCUUUCUUACAUGUACAUUUCUUACUCUAAUCAUAUUGAGAUUGUCUCGCAAGAAGGUGUGAAAAAUCAUUUAUGAGAAAAAGUAAACAUUGUUAAGAAAUAAAGAAAGCAAUAGAACGGUGUGAACUGUGAAGCGUGCAUGCACUAUAUCUUAGAAGAUAUUUUAUUUGUUUUUUUUUCGUCAGAAGAUAUUUUAUUUGUUUAAGUUGAAAUCCAUGCAUGCAUGAUUUCACGUGUCUUAAGAAUGUGAAGUACUUCGGGUGCGUACUUUCCCUGCAUUAUUUAUAUUAUUAUGCGUCAGUGUAAUAUAUUUUACUACAAAUUUUGGUACAUUGUCUAUAUAUGUAUAACCUCUAGUUAAGGGAUUUGUAGUUUGAAAUGCAUCUGAUUCCUAAUCAUAAGAAAUCACUAUUGAUAUUCUCGCUUAUGGACCUGUAAAUGAGAGUUAUUAUAACUGAUUUCUAUCAGAUAAAAGAAAGUGACGGAACAUAUUUGUCAGCUAAAUUGAUUAUCUAUAUAAUCAAUAAACGAAACUAUAACCUCAUUAUUGUAGACAUUCACAUGAAUUUAAAGUGUUUCGUAUCAAUUAUCCGCAUAUAAUAUAGAGAAAUUACUUAUAAUGACUCAAAUCUUACAUGUAAUUACUAGACUAAUUCUUAAAAUUUUGUAAUUACUAGACUAAUUCAUAGGGCAAACGAAAGUACGAAAAACCCCCAACUUCAUUUUAUUAAUUGCCAUUAAAAAUUAUUAAUAGGAAAAUGUUUUGUUUAAUCAAAAAACAAAAGCCCGUGUAAAGAGUCGAAAGCCGACGACCCCAAAAUCAGACUCCUCGCUACUAUGUUUUCUGAUAAUGUUCGUGGGUCUAGUUACAAAGCUGAGAAGCAGUGAUUUAGUUUUCUUCUUUCUAGUCACUUAUGUUUUGUGUUUGGUCCAUUAGUGAACCAAACACAAAACCUCUUGGUAAUUCAAAAAGAAAAAAACAACUGAAUGAACUUAAGGGGAUUUUUGAUAUAUGUGGAUCAAAACACAUCCCAGCAGAGAAUUUAUUGACUUAUGGAGAAUAAUUUCAGGCUAAAAAUGAAAGUUCUCUUCGAAUGCAAAUGGAUCAGGUGGAAAUUAUUCGAAGAGAACUUUCAUUUCCCAUUCAACUCCGAAAUACUCUUUUUCUCCCUUCGGUUGCAGUCCUCACUCGGCUAUCAACUUCACAUUGUGUGGUCAAAUGGAACAGAGAUAUCAACACCACAUGCGCUUUCUCUAACAAUCAACUGGAAUCACGGGAUCAUAUGCUCUCCUCUGAGUAUUCUGCUUUGAUUUGUAAGAACUUAACGCAACUUAUCCUAAAGAACAUGUAUAUUCCGAACCUGUCACUAUUCAGCCAAUUUCUAGAUCAAGCUUGGAUCAUCUCUCUGAUUUAUGCAUUCAAUACACUCUUUUUUUGCCAAAAUGUGAAUUCCAUUAAAAUGGGUAGAGUUUGUAAAUUAUUACAAUCGGUUGUUUCAUACUAUGGUUUACCUUGGCAAAAAUAAUAAAAACAAGGUAAAGCAUAUGAGAGGAAGAGCAAGAAUUUCACUCCCUAAAAAGUAAACAUUCUUUAUCCAAAGGGAGAUAGUCUCUGUGAUGAUCACUUGUCUUUGUACCUGAGCGUUGCAAAUACUCAAUUAUUGCAAAGUGGAUGGAAAAGAAGUAUUAAUUACUAUUUUAUCGUGGUGAAUCAAUGCCACAAAGAGCUCUACAGAUCAUCAAGGCUUGGUGGACACCUUUUCUGUGCUGAGAAUCCAUCCUGGGGGCAACGAAAGUUCUUGCCUCUUGAAAAAUACCAACAAAAGGGUUUCUGGAGAAGGACAGACUCAUCAUUCAAGUCUACAUUGACAUUUUAGAAGCUACUGAUGGAAAAGACCUAGAGGUGUCUCGGAUCAAACAACGCUUGCAGAAUAUUGAGUCUGGUUUCGUGAAGAAUUGUUUAGAGUUCAAAUCUAAAGAGAUUUCCUUGGAGAAGGAGGAGUCAGAUACUGACGCGUCUCGGAUUAAAAAACUUGAGGAACGAGUGAAUAAUCUUGAGCUAAUGAUAUCAGAUGAUGUUAAUGCGUCUCGAAUCCAGCAACAAGAGGAACGCAUCAAGAGCCUUGAGACGAUGAUGUCAGAUCUCAAAGUUGGUCUGGACACGGAGAAGGCCAAGUCUUGUGCUGAUGGAUUUUUCGUGGUCGACCACAAUGAUGUUUUGAUGUAGAGAUCAAGUUAUUAUUCAUUUUGUUUUAAUUUUUUUUUAAUUUUUCUUGCUUUCUGAAUCUUAUUAGUCAAGAGAUUUUUUGCUUAUAUGGGUUAUGUAAAUGGUUUCAUUCUCUCUUUUAUCUGCCUUGUUUUGGCAUUUCAUUGCUCUCCAAGCUUCUGAUAUUGCUUAUGGCCUAAGACACACAAAAACUUAAUCACAUCUCAAAGUUAAUACCGAUGAUCAGAAAAUAAAGUUCUCUUUUGUACCUUGAUGAAUUGUCUGAUGUAGUAUCAAAUAAUCAUAUGCAUAGGAAUGAUCGUCCGUGCGUCAUCCGGUGUCACCUCAUCAUCGUCUAUAAUUGUAAGAAUAAAAGAAAGUUUAACCUUUUCUGGUACACAAACCAUUUGUCGAUUAAAAGUAGUAAAACAUGGAAUAUUUAGAGCAUCAUUAGUGAUUAGUCUCUCACAAAGAGUAUCUAGAUGUUAUUAUAUAAAUAUUUAUAGUAAUUUAGUUUUAUAAUUAAAACUUAAUCAUAAAAGAAAUAUGUGUAUCAGUUAAACCGCUGACAUGUGUAGUUAGUCUCUUAAGUUUUAUCUAAAGUCUCUACUGAAACAAUCGAUUAUUCCUUUUUCCAUCAUUUCUUUCCUACUUUUUGUCUUUUUAAUAUUUUCUUAUGUUAAAAUUUUGUGUAGGGAUUAUCACUACGGAUGGCCUUAGAGCAGCAUUAACGCAGGAUUUUAAAGAGUUUUAAGAGCUAUGGGAUCCACCAAAAAGUUAAAACCCACCCUUUCUUCCUCUUCUGCAAGAGGCGAGUGUGGUAAAGUUUCUGUACUGUUCGCGGGCCCCACUGAAACGUAGCGGCCUGCGAUUGGUCCAUUUUAAAAUUUUUUUUUUUUAAAUCGGACAAAAAAAAAUAAUAA